rnacentral:rRNA from 1 species
ACUGGCUGUCGUCAGCUCGUGUCGUGAGAUGUUGGGUUAAGUCCGCAACGAGCGCAACCCCUAUCUUAGUUGCCAUCAUUGAGUUGGGCACUCUAAAGAGACUGCCGGUGUCAAACCGGAGGAAGGUGGGGAUGACGUCAAAUCAUCAUGCCCCUUAUGACCUGGGCUACACACGUGCUACAAUGGUUGGUACAAAGGGUCGCGAACCCGCGAGGGGGAGCCAAUCCCAAAAAGCCGCUCUCAGUUCGGAUUGCAGGCUGCAACUCGCCUGCAUGAAGCCGGAAUCGCUAGUAAUCGCGGAUCAGCAUGCCGCGGUGAAUACGUUCCCGGGCCUU